UACGUAGGUGGCAAGCGUUGUCCGGAUUUACUGGGCGUAAAGCGCGCGUAGGCGGCUGUCUAAGUCGGGUGUGAAAGCCCCGGGCUCAACCUGGGAACUGCAUUCGAUACUGGACGGCUAGAGUAUGAGAGAGGGAGGUAGAAUUCCACGUGUAGCGGUGAAAUGCGUAGAUAUGUGGAAGAACACCGAUGGCGAAGGCAGCCCCCUGGGAUGAGACUGACGCUCAUGUACGAAAGCGUGGGGAGCAAACAGG
rnacentral:rRNA from 1 species